GGUUUCAGGAACUUCAAUUGCUGUUCACAGCCAGAUGUUGUCAGUCCUGAACAUCGCGCUCUCUUGUGUUGCAUUCUCUCCAGACGCUCGGCCAAAGAUGCGCAACGUCUUGAGGAUGCUCUUUAAUGCAAAGUGAAUCAGAAGCUGCCUACAAUCAUAUCAUAUAUAAAUUGGGUGGAGAGUUUGAUCUACGGGUAGUUCAUGGAUGUCAGUAAUCUGCAUACAUGAUGUUCUUGUACAUAGAAGAUAGAACCCUAGCUUAUGGUAGAUCAUAUGCUUGAUGAAUUGAGUAAUUAGGUAUCCGUUUGGGAGUAAGUCACAAUAUGGUUUCUAUGCUGUAAAAUUGCAGAGAUGGUUAUAAGCAAAGCUUAAAAGGUCAUGGGUAUGCUCAUAGAAGUAGAUAGUCUAUUGUUUUUUUCUCUGUAUUGUGUAGACUAGUUCACGGAAGGCAAAAUAGCCAUCUUGGUCCUUCAACUUUUCUUCAACUUUUUUCCAAGGGUCAAGUUCAUCCCUUAACUUUUAAAUUGGCCAAUAUAAUCCAUAAACUUUCAUUUUCAAACUCGUCCUUAUGCUAACGUGGUACUCCAUAAUGACGAGACUAUUGCAAAAUGUCAAUUUUGCCCUUGACUUCAUAAUCCCAUCCUUAAUUUUAGCAUGGUUGCUGGUGUGCGGAUGCUCGUCAAUCUACUCUUGCUUGCAUGGAGGAGCUGGGGUGGGAUCGACAUGCUGCUGCUCCUGACUUGAUUGCCGAGAGAAAUUGGAGGAGAGCAGCGGCAGCUGCUGCUUGCUUGCUUGCCGAUUGGGGCUGAGAGAGAGAGAACUACAUGCUUGUGCUUUGUAUUUGCUCCUUGCUUGCUUUCACAGAGAAAGUGAAAGGGGAGUUGUAAUGGUGUGAAGCUCGGAUUGGAGAGGAGGAGCAUGCAGCUCUGCUUGCUCAGCGGUGCUAGAGGCAGAUAAAAGGAGGAGGCAGCUAGUUGUUGAUACUGUGCUCGAGCAACCAGAGGAGAGAGCCAGCUAGUUCUUGUCUUAUAUUCGUUGAUGGUGGAAAUUGAGUAGGCAAAGAAGAACAAGGGCAAAAAGGACAUUUUGCAUUAGUUUAAUGAUAGUAUGGAGUGCUACGUCAGCACAAGAAUGAGUUUGACCCAAAAAUGUUUUGGGACUAAAUUGGCCGAUCUAAGAGUUCAGGGACAAAACUGACCCUCGAUGCAAAGUUGAAGGAUCAAAACGUCUAUUUUGCCUUCUCGAAAAGCUUUGCAUUGGUAGUUCAAGUAAAUAGCUCUAAUUUGCCCUAAGAAAUAGAAAGUAAAUCACGAUCACAGAUCUAAUAGCCUAAUUGAGAUAAGCUUGCGACAUGUAAUCUACAAUUUCUACAUGCAAAUGUUUCUAUGGUUUCCUUGUCAAGAUAAUUUUUCUAUGCUUCAAAUUGCUUAAAUUUAGAACCAUGGGCAUAUCGCAUCAUUUCUUUUGUGCUUUGUAGAAUACUAGACUUUAAAAGAUUAUUUUUCAUAUGAUAAUUUCUAUAUAUCUGUUACAUCAUUUUUUCUAGCAAAAAUCUACCAAAUCUGCUUCCAAAUAAAUUAAAUAUUCUAGAUAAAGAAAUCAAAUGUUAUAGAAAACUGCAUUAUUAUUAUUAUUAUUAUUAAUUCAUUUCACCAUUUUUCUUUCCUAGUAAUAAGGAGAGAUGGGUGAACGGCCUAUCCUGUUAAAAUCCAGCAAAUAGAAGUGAAAGAUUUGCUGAUACAAAUCAUGCGAAUGAUAACCCUUUUUCAUAUUUUCUGCAUCCCUCCAAAUGAAAAACCAAUCACCCAAAUGCAAAUAUAUAUAUCUUUUUAGAGAAAAAUAGCAUAUCCCCCACACAAAAGAAGAAAAAAUAAGCUUGGUUGAAACCUUGGGCUUGUUGUUGGACCUUGUAGCGAUCCCCAAAGCCGGGCUUAGCAUCAGGAGCGACGAGCCCAAACCUUUCCACCCG
rnacentral:lncRNA from 1 species